AUGCUCAGAAAGCUGGUUGACCCUGAGCUGCUGGGGUCCAUCUCCCCUGGGGUGUCUCCUCCCGUGCUGUGCACUAAGGGCAGCUGUGUGUGGACAGUGAGCUCCUGGCUCACCCUUGCAUGGGGUUGUAGCCCCUUGGCAGGCUGCUUGCUUGGGGUAGAGGCCUGCCCCCCCGCCAGGGGCUCUCUGUCCCCCACACCCAGGAUGCCCCAUGGGCGCCCUGCCCUGCCCGGACCUGGUCUUGCCUUACUGUUUCACCAUCUGAGAUGCUGUCCAUAUGCUGGGUCCACACUUGGUCUGGACCCAUCGGCGCCUCCCUCACCAAGGGCUUGGUGUUCCUCUCUGUGCCCUGUGCACAGCCUCCCCAACUCUGUGUCUCUCUCAGGAAGGCCCGGGACCAUCCUCCCCUUCAGCCCUGAACCCUUACUCGGUGCAGGGAGACACCCUUUUUCCAGCCCUAGGACAACUGGGGAGAAGCUGCCAGGGGCUGGGGCCCCGAGUGACCCCACUUUGUGCCUCGUGUGUAACGGCUCAUCUGCCCUGCAAGCGCUGCGGCUCCUUCUCCGUCGCCAUCCUUCAGGGCUCCUGCUUCGUGCGGCUCGGGACGCUCGGGGUGACGAGGACCGUGACUGGACCGCAGUGAGCCCGAGGCCCUCGGUGGCCGCUCGUGGAGGCGGACCAUGUACCCAGAGCUAUUUUAGAGAAAUUGCACGGUCUCCGCCGUGGUGUUCAUAGGACGUGCGUCCCGCUCCCCACCCUGGCUCUGUCCCUGCUCUGUCCAUGCUCUUGUCCUUGUCCCCGUUCCCUGUCGCUGUCCCUGUCCCUGUCCCAGACACCACAGCCCGGGACAAGCCCCUCCUCGCUGGCUGCCGCCCUGGCCCCAGCCCCAGCGGCCUUGCAGGACCCUGGCUCGUCUGUGUACUCACGUGUUGAGCAAAUCUGGCCGUGCUGAUCUUGACCCCCUCCAAGGGGGAGGAAGGGGCCACCCCCAAAGUGGACCCCUUGGUUCCAUGACUGCUAGACCCCUGGCCAUGGUGGUCAGUGAGCCAGGCAAGUGGGGUCCACCUGGAGAUGCGAGUGUGGGCGGAGCCCCAGGCCUCUCUGGCCUUGGGUGCCCAGUGGCUGGCACCAGCCCUGGACAGGGCAUCUGCGGAGUGACCAGGACUGCCUCUCUGGGCCCUGGAAGGUCUGUGGUGGCCAGAGUGUGUCCCUGGGAGUUCCCAUGUGGACACUGGUCCCAGAGGCAGGUGUGGAGAGUGGGCCUCUAGGGAACCUGUGAUGGGUAGCUCUAUCCCGCUCACUGGGCCCUCUCAGGGUGGCCCCUGCAUUGCAUGCUCCCCAGGGUGGCCGUGUCAUGCCUCUGCAGUCCUGACACAGCUCAGGUCACCUCAGACAUUGGUCCAUGCUCUGGCCUCUCAGCCUUCAGAACAACGAGCCAAAUAAAACUCUCUUCUUUGUAAGUGUCCCAGUCUACCUGUUCUGUAACAGCAACAGAAACAUAGCUAGCAGGGCCACUCCUCAGCCCCUAGGGACAUAGGGCUGGGGGGAUCUUGACUCAGCCACCAAUCCGUCUCUAGAACCCUCUCCCCAUGGCCUGCCCCCUCCUCGAGGUCACCCACCCCAAGUCAUCCGCACCCCCUUCCUCAUGGCCCUGAGAUAGCAGGCAGGCCUGGUCUGAGCCCCACGAGGAAGGUGUCAGCGUGAAAACCUCCCACCCCUACCUCCUUGGCUCUCCUGCAGUGUAGUUACUGGGAACCAUCAGGAGCCCCGGGGCAGUGUGGGGUCCUGGCUGCCUGUCUUGGAGAUGGCCACAGGCUGACACUGGGCUUUCCUUCCCAAGGGGCUGCAGCCUGAUACCUGUUUGCUGGCAGUGCAGGUGGGGGACUCAGGGUCCAGUAGUGACUAGAAUUCCAGCUCAAUCCUGCAAGUGAGUGAGGCCUGGGUAGAAGGAGGCUGGGUAGGGGCUGUAGCCCUCAGGCUGCCAGAGGGGUGGGGUCCUGGGCAUAGGUGAUGUUGGAUAUUGAUGCCAGCUUUGUCCUUUGCUUCCAUCUCAUGGGGCUGAAAAGCCCCAGCCUGGUUCCUGGGUUCCUUCUGCCUCAGCCAGAGUCCGUGUUCUUGCCUGGCUGAGAAGCGGGUACCACCGCCCACACUGGGGGUGCCCUGUGCCGGCCAAAGUCCCAGGCCUGCCCAGGCCCGUACAUGGCGCUGGGGUCCUCACCACACCCCUCAAUGCCCCCCACUUCUCCAUGUUCCCCACAGGGCAUGGCGACCUCCCUUGGCUGAAGCAGCUGCAGGAAGCCCUGGCUGCUGACAGUGACAGAUGCUGACACAGGACUCAGAACAGCCACCCUUGGUACCCACUCCAUAGAUCCAGUGUGGGGACAGACCUGACUCAUUUUCCUGUGUUCUUGCCUGCAUGAUCCCGAGAAAGCCACAGUCUCCAUCUGGAGCAGCUGCUCCUGCCACCUCCCAGAGACCAAUCUUCCUGAACCUGGGGUUGGGGGUCAGCGAGCGUCUCCUCUCUUUCAGUAGCAGGGUGGCAGGUGUUCCUUGUUGCCAUGGAGACGGAGUGGCAUGGAAGCCACUGAGCGCCCUCCUCACUGGCAAGGGUCCCCCAGCAUGGGCCUUCAGGGGACUCUCACAGAGCUCUCUGAGCUGCCCCCAAGAAUGUCCACUUCCCUGCUGUGACAGGAACAUUCAGGGGGCUAUUGCUGCUGUCAUCUGCAGACUCUGUGACCCCAGCCUGGGCCCCAGCCAUUCUUCCUCCUGCUGGCCUGCUGAGGGUGCAAAACCACAGCCCCUCUGCCCAGUAGACCUCAUGGCCUGACUCCUUUUCCUCGGAGGACAGAGAUCAGGCACUGUGGGGUCGGGGCUCUGGGGGGUGGGCAUGGGAUCCAGGUAUGCCAGUUAGAGGAGGGCUGUUGCUAGGGGCAAGAACCCCAUAGUGACAGCAACCAGACGUGAGGCCAGGCUAUGGACAGCUGUGCAGCCCCCACUAGGCUGGACCUCAGGACACCCGACAUUCACCAUGCCCCCCAGGCCUCCCCCAAACACGAGACAUCUUGGGACUCGUGGGGAGGAGGAUCCCCACAGUGGACUUCAGGUCAUUUAGCGUCAGUGUGAUGUUGUGUGACACUAUCCUCUUCCAAGGGUCCCCAUAAAGGACUGGGCCCCCCAUGGGGUAUGGCAUCCAGGCCAGGGAAGGGGCUGAAGAGGCCGGGAUUGGGGUGCUGGAGCAGGGUGGGGGUGGACAGUCAGGGCUCUGCCAUCGACACAGACCCCUGUGCUUGCAGUGCCUCCCUUCCCACCCAGGACUGGGAGGUGGCAGAUGGGGGUUGGGCCCAAGCUCGGCUCCUGUUCCUAGCCACAUAGGGGUGCCCGAGGCUAUGCCCAGAGCCUGAUCUGGGGUGAGAGAUUUGCCAGAGGGGCCUCCUUGUGACUUCAGCGUUGCCCUGCUGUCCUACGGAAGAGGCAAACAGGCCUAUGUCCCUCCGGCUCCACACCAUCCUACUGAGGCGAGAGGCACCGGCUGGAGGAUAUGUGCCUGCUGCCACCAAGUGGUGGUAGCAUCGGUGCUGGGCUCUGAGUAGAUCAGUACUCGGGAUUCUGAGAACCCAGCCAGGGCCCCACAGCCCACCCCUCUGCCUGGGCCGGUGACACUGCCCUCCUCUCGACACGCACGGCCACACCUUCCCAGAAGGAAAGUGCUGAGGGACCGGGCCCCAGAAUGGGGACAGACUUGUGCAGCUCGGUCACCUGCAGGAGAUAGGAUUUAUUCCAGACCUGCAGUGAAGCCAUCAGGACCUGGGUUUUUCUUAGUUGGUAAGUUUUUAAUUACAUUUUUAAUUUCAUUGGUUGAUAUUGGGUUGUUCAGAAUUUUUAGGUCUUCUUCGUUCAACUUUGGUAAUUUAUACAUAUCUAGGAAUCUGUCCAUUU
rnacentral:lncRNA from 1 species